rnacentral:lncRNA from 1 species
AUUUUGGAGCUGAAGCAUUGUGGAUUUCUGGUUUGGGUGGACUAGCAUUUUGGGUGAGGGUACUGCCUGCUCGUUUCUCAGUCGGUUGUGGCAAGGGAGAACAAAUGCUCUGGACUUUAGCAGCAUCUACUGUAAUAGAAACCUUCAAUUCUGGUUUAACUUGAAUAGUCCCGGCUGGAGUUUUCGAAGGACUUCUCGGAGAGGUCAGUAUAGAUUUUGCCGUUUCUCUAGAGUGUUUCUCCAAUUCAACAAUGGUUGCGGUACUUGGCUUCCUAGACGGCAAAGCAACUUUCUCAUCCUGUCAGACCG